GACAGAGGGGGCAAGCGUUGCUCGGAAUUACUGGGCGUAAAGGGCGCGUAGGCGGGAUGGCAAGUCGGUCGUGAAAUCCCUCGGCUCAACCGAGGAACGUCGAUCGAUACUGCUGUUCUUGAGGAUUGCAGAGGAGACUGGAAUUCCCGGUGUAGCGGUGAAAUGCGUAGAGAUCGUGAGGAAGACCAGUGGCGAAGGCGGGUCUCUGGACAGUUCCUGACACUGAGGCAGCGAAGGCCAGGGGAGCAAACGGG
rnacentral:rRNA from 1 species